rnacentral:rRNA from 1 species
CUGGGUAGCUAUGUAGGGAAGGGAUAAACGCUGAAAGCAUCUAAGUGUGAAGCCCACCUCAAGAUGAGAUUUCCCAUGAUUUUAUAUCAGUAAGAGCCCUGAGAGAUGAUCAGGUAGAUAGGUUAGAAGUGUAAGUGUGGUGACACAUGUAGCGGACUAAUACUAAUAGCUCGAGGACUUAUCCAA